UUCAUCGUUAUGAAAUAAGUCAAUCACGUCAAACAUACAUCUCACAAGUCAUUGUCAGUAUUGCGUGAUUUCUGUUAAUACUUUUUCUAAAAACAUCUGGCACCAUCAUGGCACCAUCUUCUCAACAAGUAGCUACUGUCAAUAGUUUUACAUGUGACACAUGCAACACAAAAUUUGCAACAGAAUUUGCACUACAUAUUCAUAAAAAUACUCAUUUUUACAACAUACCUUGUAAAAUAUGUAACAUUAUUUUCACAACCACCGAAAAUUUAGACAAUCAUAUUAGAAAUAUGCAUCCAGAAUGUCGUAAUUAUUAUGAGUGUAUCAUUUGCGCCGAAAAAUUUACAACACGAUCUGAACUACAAACCCAUGCAAUUAAUCAUAGUGGAACAAUUUUUGAAUGUAAAUACUGUGACAAAAUUUACUUGACAUUUUCUUCUAAACGGAGCCACGAACGUAGUACGCAUGAAGAAAGCAACUUUACAUGUUCGAUAUGCAUGGUUCCAUUUCCAACGAAUUCUGAGCUACACCGUCAUCUAACAGCUCAUUGAUAUCAGUACUUUAAUUCGUUUAUUGAAAGUAUCGAUUUAUUCAACAGUGAUUAGAACAUGUCAAUAGUGUAAAAUAUUACCGUUACAAUAUUGGUGUUUUUAAGAUCGCAGCACUAUCUGACCAACAAAAUCGUAGAGAAAUUGAUUCAAAUGUAAAACCAUACAACUGUUAUAAAUUUCACCAAUUAAUUACGACUGAGGAUGAAGUAAAUGUGCA